UGAGUUUGAUCAUGGCUCAGGAUGAACGCUGGCGGCGUGCCUAACACAUGCAAGUCGAGCGAGAAGGUGAUGACUGAUUCUUCGGAUGAAGGAUUCACUGGAGAGCGGCGGACGGGUGAGUAACGCGUGGGUAAUCUGCCCUGUGGAGGGGGAUAACAUUCUGAAAAGAAUGCUAAUACCGCAUAAGCAUACGAGAUCGCAUGAUCAAGUGUGAAAAACUCCGGUGCCACAGGAUGAGCCCGCGUAAGAUUAGCUAGUUGGUAAGGUAACGGCUUACCAAGGCAACGAUCUUUAGCCGACCUGAGAGGGUGAUCGGCCACAUUGGGACUGAGACACGGCCCAAACUCCUACGGGAGGCAGCAGUGGGGGAUAUUGCACAAUGGAGGAAACUCUGAUGCAGCAACGCCGCGUGAAGGAAGACGGUUUUCGGAUUGUAAACUUCUAUCAGCAGGGAAGAAAAUGACGGUACCUGACUA
rnacentral:rRNA from 1 species